CCAUCGAAGUAGAAGCGACACAUUAAUCGUAUUUCAACUUUCAACAAGAAUUUCCUUUAUCGGAGCCUCAAUUUCCACUGGUUUCAUCAAAAGAAAAGGGGAAAAAAAAAAAUCCUUCCACUGGGCUCCCGAACAAAUCACCUGGUUCAUUAAAGGAUAUUCAACUCGGGCGUUAAUCGCUAAGAUCGCUUUCCACAUUCAAUGACACGAUAACGAUCAAAUCUCGAGCAGAAAGAGAAAGUCGAAACUGGGAUUGAAUUGUUGGUCUUAGUGAGAAAGAUGUUGAUUACGGAAUACGUUGGUCAUUGAUUACCUGCGUGCAUCUAUAUAUAUUAACCAGACGGGUUUUUUUGGAGGGUUGUAGUGGUUCCAAUUUCUUUGAAACAGCCGAUUUUACCUGUUCAUGGUAGUGGUAGAUAUUUUGAGAAGUUAUGACUUGGGCCAUACGAAAGGGUUCACAAAUGGCUGUAUAUCCGCGAACAAUUUCUUGGAUUGCCGUUUCAGUUGGAGGAUUGGCAAUGUUCCUAAUCUUUGGCUCAUGGUUCUUAGUCUCCUACCCUAUUGGGUCCAUAAUGCGAGGGUACUUUUACGGUGUUAAUAGUUCAAAAGAGUUGGAUUUUGUAAUUUCUCUAGGAAAUUCAAGUGCUACUGUUCCUGCCUAUGACAGCAAUUUAGAUCUAGUUCCAAAAAAACUCCCUUCAGAUAAGGAUAUAGUUGACAGGAAAUUUGAAUCUGGGUUAAAUCCACCUCCUCAAAGUAGUUCAGAUAGACCUCCGGUUGACAAAAAUUCAGCUGCAAUUGACAAGAAUUUGAUGCCUCAGUCCAAGUCACCAGAUGCCACAAAUUCAAGUAGUCAGUCAACUGCUUCAGAAACCAAGAAGAAGGAAGAUGAAAGGGCGAUUCCUUCAGUAUUAUCUUCUCAAGAUGGGUCAGAGCCAGAGGCUGCCACCAUUACAUCUAACGUUGAAAAUUCUGUAAAUGGUGGAUCUGUUUCCAAUAAUUCUAUCAGCAAUUCAAAUGAUACAGAUAUGGGUUCUAAAAAUGAUAUUGAUGUCAAAUCAGGAGGUUUACCAGAUCCAAAUCCCCUGCCAACUAAUGGGAGCAAGACAUCAGAUUUAGGCUGUGAUUUGUACCAUGGAAGUUGGGUUUAUGAUUCCACAGGACCAUUGUAUAAAAAUGAUUCAUGCCCUGUCCUGUCACAGAUGCAGAACUGCCAGGGGAAUGGGAGACCAGACAGUGAAUACGAGAAUUGGCGAUGGAAGCCUUCUCAAUGUAGCCUCCCAAGAUUUGAUGCUAAGAAAUUCUUGAACUUGAUGAGUGGGAAGACACUUGCUUUUAUUGGCGACUCAGUUGCUCGAAACCAAAUGGAGUCAUUAUUGUGCGCCUUGUGGCAGGUUGAAGUUCCUAAAAACAGGGGCAAUAGGAAAAUGCAAAGAUAUUUUUUCAGGUCAAACUCUGUGAUGAUUGUUCGAAUAUGGUCAUCAUGGCUUGUGAAGCAAAGAUCUGAACCUGUAGAUUUUGCUCCAGAGGGUGUUGUGAAACUUCACCUUGAUGCUCCUGAUGAUAAUCUCAUGGAAUUUAUUCCAAAUUUUGAUGUCAUUGUUAUUUCGUCUGGUCACUGGUUUGCCAAGCAGUCGGUUUACGUUUUAAAUAAUGAGAUUGUUGGAGGACAGCUGUGGUGGCCUGAUAAGUCUCGUCCUAUGAAGGUUAACAACAUCGAAGCUUUUCGAAUAUCUGUCGAAACAAUUCUUACUGCUCUUGCCACAGAUCCAAAAUACAGGGGACUCACGAUUGUGCGUUCUUAUUCUCCUGAUCACUAUGAAGGUGGGGCCUGGAAUACAGGUGGAUCCUGUACUGGAAAGGAAAGGCCUAUUGGUGUUGGAGAACUAGUGGAAAAUAAAUUCACAAACAUUAUGCACGAUAAUCAGGUAUCUGGUUUCAAUGCUGCAGUUAAGAAGUUGACAAAUAAAUCAAGGCUAAGGCUAAUGGACAUUACAGAAAUCUUUCAGUAUCGUCAUGAUGGGCAUCCAGGGCCUUACAGAAGUACUGACCCUAAUAAACUCACCAAACGUGGCCCAGAUGGAAGGCCACCACCACAGGACUGUUUACACUGGUGCAUGCCAGGUCCUGUAGAUACCUGGAAUGAGCUUGUUCUUGAACUUAUAAGGAGAGAUUUUGAGGGUAACCAGAUUUCCUCUUCAUGAUAUUUGUGUUCCUGAAUUCCUGUAUGGAUUUUUAGUUACGAAAAUUAUGAGGGAAAUGAGUCAACUUGUUUCCAAAGUUUACGUCGUCUUAGGCUUGAGCAAAGUUUUGGAGGUCCUUCCAGAAAAGAGAGAAGGUAUUUGGAGCUUCCAUUGAUUCAUCUUGAAGCCAACAAGGAAAGGAAAAGCUUUUGCUGGAAGUCUUUGGAAAGGAAACCAUGGCUGGGGUAAGCAUAAGCUUCUUGUUAUGGGGCUGCUGCCAUUACCUUGAAUUUUGCUGCACUUAUCUCUGAUCUUUGGUGCUUACUGUAUUCUUGGGGUUGCCUAUAUGAAUUUUGUAGACCAUGGAUAUUUUAGAACCAGACAAUACUCUUAGUUUAUGAUUCCUUUCAUCGGGGUGAGUA